GCUUUGAUCAGGAAUCUUGACCUUGCUCCAUUUUCUCUCCACCACCUAGUUCCCCUCUCUUUCAGCCCCAGGCCUGCCCCUCAGGUGUACCCUGUCCAUGUGAGCCAUGGGCCAGCUUGAAACAAUCUGGCAUCAGGAAGGGGACCUGAGGAAGGUCAGGAAGACGCUGCUGAAGGAACGAUGUUUUGUGUGGAGGUCCACGGGAAGAAAAAGAAAAGGAUUGUUCGGGCACCGAAGCAACAGCCCCGGCCUGACACUCAGGUUUACCCUGUUCAUGUGAGCAGCAGGCCGGCUCGCAACAGUGUCUGAUGCCAUUGCCUUGGAAGUAGAACUUCAGAUGGGACCUGAUUUGUCAUUCGAAAUUACCCAAUGUAUCAGCUUACCAAAUAAGUCUACUGAAGCUCCACAGGAAUAUUGAAAACCAGUUUUACCAGGCCGCAGGUUUGACAGAAUUGCAACCUCUAUAUUUGGGCUAUGAUCAACUUGUUUGGACACUUAGCAAAAUAUUUUUGCUGGUCAGCAUUUAAAAUGUGCUUAUUAUUUGUACCAAUUGACGUUUCCUAAAAUAAGGUAUUGGGUUAUGUCAUUAAAUGUACUCCUGUGCCAGAAUAUCAUUAGUCUAUAAGGAAUCUAGAAGGAUUAGGUGCCAAAAUACCCGGCACAAUGCUUCUAUAUUUUUAGCAUCAUACAAAACCAAAAUUGCUAAGAACUUUCUAGACCAUCCAUGAUGUAUUCCUCUAGUCAUUUCAAACACUGUAGGGCUUCUCUCAUUAUCAGCCUGCUCACUCUUUUUACAUCUCCCACACUUACACCAGAAUAAGUCAGGUUUGCUCAGCCAUCCUUUAUUUUUUUAAUUUUUUUUAACUAAGUCUUGUGCUGAUUAUUUAAUAUCUCUGUCUCAUUUUGUUCUGUUUUGGGAAACCUCUGUUUGAAAAUCAAGUUUGUUACAGAAGCACAUACCUUCAAUAAUGUCUCCAACAAAAAGCUUAUAGUUAAAUUAAUGUUUGCACUCAGAAGUGCAACCUAACAGGGAGGGCCUGAAAAAGAAGGAGAGGAGGCUAUUAAAUAUUUUUAGCAAUAUGUUGCCUUUGUCUUCUGCAGAAUAUGUAGAGUAUGCUCUUUAAUUUAGUAAAUAUUUUUAAGACGUAGAGAUACAUUGUUGUAGCUAACCAAUUCUUAAUCAAAACUUCUGAAAUUUUUGUGUUUUCCAUACCUAUCAGAAGUUUUCCAGCUUGUUUGAAUUAUGAUUUUCCUCUUCUCUUCCCAAUCUCUUGCAAAAAAGAAAAAGUGGGAUCUGCUAGUGAACUGAGCAGAAAUGUUUUAUACUCCUUCUGAGCUAUAUAAGUUAAUAAUUGGAUACUUGAUCAUUUGUUUUAUUAUGUAAUCGAUAAAAUGGUGAUGUGUAUUAAAGUUAGUUCAACCAUA